GAUGAACGCUGGCGGCGUGCUUAAUACAUGCAAGUCGAACGAAGAGCCUUUGUAGCAAUACGGGGGCUUCUUAGUGGCGAACGGGUGCGUAACGCGUUGGUGACCUGCCCCGAAGUGUGGGAUAACAGUUCGAAAGGACUGCUAAUACCGCAUGUGGUUUUCCGGAUUAGAUGCCGGAUCUCUAAAGCAGUAAUGCGCUUCGGGAGGGACCUGCGUCCCAUCAGCUUGUUGGUGAGGUAACGGCCCACCAAGGCUACGACGGGUAGGGGACCUGAGAGGGUGGUCCCCCACACGGGCACUGAAACACGGGCCAGACACCUACGGGUGGCAGCAGUAGGGAAUAUUGGGCAAUGGGCGAAAGCCUGACCCAGCAACGCCGCGUACACGAUGAAGGUCUUCGGAUCGUAAAGUGCUUUUCUGAGAGAUGAGAAAGGACAGUAUCUCAGGAAUAAGUCUCGGCUAACUACGUGCCAGCAGCCGCCGUAACAC
rnacentral:rRNA from 1 species